rnacentral:rRNA from 1 species
UACGAAGGGGGGUAGCGUUGCUCGGAAUGACUGGGCGUAAAGGGCGCGUAGGCGGCUUGCAUAGUCAGAUGUGAAAUUCCUGGGCUUAACCUGGGGGCUGCAUUUGAUACGUGUGGGCUUGAGUGCGGAAGAGGGUCGUGGAAUUCCCAGUGUAGAGGUGAAAUUCGUAGAUAUUGGGAAGAACACCGGUGGCGAAGGCGGCGACCUGGUCCGUGACUGACGCUGAGGCGCGAAAGCGUGGGGAGCAAACAGG